ACCCAGCGGAAGAGUCGAAAAUAGAACGAAACACGCGUCCUGGAU
rnacentral:hammerhead_ribozyme from 1 species